GACGAACGCUGGCGGCGUGCCUAACACUUGCAAGUCGAGCGAGUGAAUCUCCUUCGGGAGUGAAGCUAGCGGCGGACGGGUGAGUAACACGUGGGCAACCUGCCUCAUAGAGGGGAAUAGCCUUUCGAAAGGAAGAUUAGUACCGCAUAAGAUUGUAGCUUCGCAUGAAGUAGCAAUUAAAGGAGCAAUCCGCUAUGAGGUGGGCCCGCGGCGCAUUAGCUAGUUGGUGCGGUAACGGCUCACCAAGGCGACGAUGCGUAGCCGACCUGAGAGGGUGAUCGGCCACAUUGGGCCUCGUCCACGGCCCAGACUCCUACAGGAGGCAGCAGUGGGGAAUAUUGCAUAAUGGGGGAAACCCUGAUGCAGCAACGCCGCGUGAGUGAUGCCGGCCUUCGGGUUGUAAAGCUCUGUCUUCAGGGACGAUAAUGACGGUACCUGAGGAGGAAGCCACGGCUAACUACGUGCCAGCCGCCGCGGUAA
rnacentral:rRNA from 1 species